GGCCUUCGGGUUGUAAAGCACUUUCAGUAGGGAGGAAGGUAGUGUAGUUAACACCUGCAUUAUUUGACGUUACCUACAGAAGAAGCACCGGCUAACUCCGUGCCAGCAGCCGCGGUAAUACGGAGGGUGCGAGCGUUAAUCGGAAUUACUGGGCGUAAAGCGCAUGCAGGCGGCCUGUUAAGUCAGAUGUGAAAGCCCCGGGGCUUAAACCUCGGAAUUGCAUUUGAAACUGGCAGGCUAGAGUCUUGUAGAGGGGGUAGAAUUUCAGGUGUAGCGGUGAAAUGCGUAGAGAUCUGAAGGAAUACCAGUGGCGAAGGCGGCCCCCUGGACAAAGACUGACGCUCAGAUGCGAAAGCGUGGGGAGCAAACAGGAUUAGAUACCCUGGUAG
rnacentral:rRNA from 1 species